AGCCAGACUCCUACGGGAGGCAGCAGUGGGGGAUAUUGCACAAUGGAGGAAACUCUGAUGCAGCGACGCCGCGUGAGGGAAGACGGUCUUCGGAUUGUAAACCUCUGUCUUUGGGGAAGAAAAUGACGGUACCCAAAGAGGAAGCUCCGGCUAACUACGUGCCAGCAGCCGCGGUAAUACGUAGGGAGCGAGCGUUGUCCGGAUUUACUGGGUGUAAAGGGCGUGCAGCCGGGAGUGCAAGUCAGAUGUGAAAUCCCGCGGCUCAACCGCGGAACUGCAUUUGAAACUGUGCUUCUUGAGUGCUGGAGAGGCGGACGGAAUUCCUAGUGUAGCGGUGAAAUGCGUAGAUAUUAGGAGGAACACCAGUGGCGAAGGCGGUCUGCUGGACAGUAACUGACGGUGAGGCGCGAAAGCGUGGGGAGCAAACAGGAUUAGAUACCCUUGUAA
rnacentral:rRNA from 1 species